rnacentral:rRNA from 1 species
GACGUAGGAGGCGAGCGUUAUCCGGAUUCACUGGGCGUAAAGCGCAUGUAGGCGGUUCUGUCAGUCCGCUGUUAAAGCCCCCGGCUCAACUGGGGGAGGUCAGUGGAGACUAUAGGACUUGAGGGUAACAGAGGCACGUGGAACUCCCGGUGUAGCGGUGGAAUGCGUAGAGAUCGGGAAGAACACCAGUGGCGAAGGCGACGUGCUGGGUUACCCCUGACGCUGAGAUGCGAAAGUGUGGGGAGCAAACGGG